GUUGCAUAACUGCUGAUGUAUUUACUACGGUUCAGUCUAUGCAUCAACUCCCAACGGAGUAGAAAUAUCAGGACAUUAGUGCAUAUGGCUAAUAAUUCUUCAACUUCAAGUCAUAUCCUUCUUGCUGAAGGCUUUAUUCAAAGAAGAGUCAUAUGCUGGUUGUUCGUAUCAAAGAAUUCAUGAAAAAGCAAUAAAGGGGGAGGUUUUGAAUUAUAAGAAGGAUCUCAG